GGAAGAAUCAUCCGGACUCCUGACGUAGAUGUUCAGGAGAAGAAAGAAACCAGAAAAUAUCCAAAUAUCCACGUUGUGACUCCGGUCAGCUUUCGGUUCAUCCGCAUGACGUUCGAGAACUCGCACACAGCUGUGACCGGCCGCUCACACACAACAUGGAACCCACCGUUCCCUCUGCGCUGCGCUAUUUUUACAAGGGUUUGACGAGCGCCCGGACUCUGCACAGGACGACGUUGCCCCUGUCGAGGUCAAGGUGCACCCGCCCCGGCGACUCACACGGCUCUAAUGAAGAACCCGGCUCGGAGAGGGGGAAGUUCUCCUGGCUGUGGCUCUCACCCGUGUCGAUCCUGAAGCAGGUGGUGUGGAACUUGCCCAUGUAGAACUCCACCCCGAUGAUGGCGAACAUGACGAUGGCGAAG